GACUGGAGCAAAGAGAGCAAAAAAAGCACUUGCUAAAUGGAGGACUACUUUGAGAUGGCUGCUAUUCUCCGGCUUAUUGCCUCCUGUCGGCCAUGGUUUCACAUGAGGUCCGGGGUGUCAGGUCCGCUUCCACCAAUAAAGGCUGUGAUUGACACUAGCGGGAGAGACUUGAGCUCGGAAAAGAAACUGAAUCUCAAUGUAUGAGGGAAAAUCUAAAAAAAAAAAAACAGCAUUGGAGGACAAAGUCAUGCUUCGGCCAUACAUCUGGAAACACUCUAAACCAACAUCCUGGUAUAAAUUUGCAAAACGCAAUACAGGCCGGAUUGUGCGCGGGACGGACACGGGGCGCAUACAAAUGGCCCCCCGUCUAAAAUACCCCCUGUUUCUCUUCGGCCUCAGUAGGAGAGCCUGCGUUUUUUACCGAAGGGAGAAUAAAGUUUCAAGUGCAUGGCAUUUGAAGGUAAGGGAGUGAAAUCGGAGGCUGGUCGUUGGGGAUAAGGCAAGGCUGGGAAAGAGGGAAGUUGGCAGUAGUGCCCAGCCAGACUCUGUGCCUUGAGCUCCCCCCUCCCUGCACCAGGUGUCUGCUACAUUUAAAUGAUACUAUUAUUCAUAGACAAGAGAGCAGGGUAUUAAAAGUCCCCCCAAAAAAUCAUUUGCAAUUGAAUACAGAUAUAAUCCUGGAAAUAUAAGUCUCCAUUUAGGCCUUGCCAUUAAGCUAACAAGGAGCCCUUUGUACAACAUGUGUGUAUUAAUCACGGUCAGGGGAAAGGGGCAGGAAGAGAGAGAGUGGGAGAGAAAAUAGAAAGCGAGUGAGCGAGGGAGGGAAAAAGAGGGAGAGAGAGAACACCAUUCGUGUGUGUUCACAUGCAAAUUGAAAUGUUGCUCAUCAAAAACGAGCUUAUCACUUUCUCUCUUGUUCUCGGCAGACUUGGCGGGCCGACGCGAACCCGAAGCGCUUCAAAUGGGGAUGAACUGAAAAUUUAUUUGCAUUUGUGAAAUUUCAACACAUACUUGAUUUUUUUUCAGCUGCGCAAUCUGAAGUGCACGAGACGUAAAGGAAGCACACACUGCGUGCAGAUGUCACAACGACACACAGGAAUUCUUACAAUGAGCCCGGGUUUCUCAAACCUACUGUGUGGGUUUCAUUUUCCCGCAGAUCGCUUUGAUUUGUGCACUUUUUCAAUGUGGCAAAUAGAGAUUUUGGAGGGCCCUCGAGGCAGCCCCCCAAUGCCUCUUACAAAACUCCUCUCCAGCAAUCAUUACAUCACCAUUUCUCUAAGCCGAUUUUCAGCAAGUCUGGCUCUGUUAUUAAAAUAGUAAUUAAUUUUUGUCUGAGGGAACAAAAGCAAGUUUUUUGUCCCCCACCAAGUGUCCCUGAAGAGACCAGGGGUGUCAGUGAGGUCCUUUCUAUCUAGUCUAGGGUCUCUAGAUGUAAUCCCCUCUAGUCUGGUACAGUAAGAGCGCUUUGAUAAUGGGACAGAAGCAGACACCCACACCGGAUCGAUCUGGAUCUUGGGAUGCAUUUGAUAGACUGGUGUCACAAGUGAGGAUCAACAAUCACAAACAAACACACUCCACGAAUGCUUUUGCAGUAUAGACUUAAUAAAAAACUCACCCUCAAGUUGUUCUAAACCUGU
ensembl:lncRNA